CGGGGACGUGCGAGCGGACUCCCCGCUCCACCAGACGUCUUUAGCGCGUCCAAGCUCUGC
rnacentral:ncRNA from 1 species